GCGGCAACAGCUCAAAUUUGAAAUCUGGUCCCCUCGCGGGGCCCGAGUUGUAAUUUGAAGAGGAUGCUUCUGGCAAGGUGCCUUCCGAGUUCCCUGGAACGGGACGCCGCAGAGGGUGAGAGCCCCGUACGGUAGGACGCCGAGCCUCUGUGAAGCUCCUUCGACGAGUCGAGUAGUUUGGGAAUGCUGCUCAAAAUGGGAGGUAAACCCCUUCUAAAGCUAAAUACCGGCCAGAGACCGAUAGCGCACAAGUAGAGUGAUCGAAAGAUGAAAAGCACUUUGAAAAGAGAGUUAAAAAGCACGUGAAAUUGUUGAAAGGGAAGCGCUUGCGACCAGACUCGCGCCCGUCGGAUCAGCCGUCGCUUGUCGGCGGCGCACUCCGGCGGGCUCGGGCCAGCAUCAGUUCGCCUCGGGGGGAGAAAGGCGGCAGGAAUGUGGCUCUUCGGAGUGUUAUAGCCUGCCGCGUAAUACCCCCGGGCGGACUGAGGACCGCGCGUAUGCAAGGAUGCUGGCGUAAUGGUCGUCAGCGACCCGUCUUGAAACACGGA
rnacentral:rRNA from 1 species